rnacentral:rRNA from 1 species
AUUGAACGCUGGCGGCAUGCUUUACACAUGCAAGUCGAACGGCAGCGCGGGCUUCGGCCUGGCGGCGAGUGGCGAACGGGUGAGUAAUACAUCGGAACGUGCCCAGUAGUGGGGGAUAGCUCGGCGAAAGCCGGAUUAAUACCGCAUACGACCUGAGGGUGAAAGCGGGGGAUCUUCGGACCUCGCGCUAUUGGAGCGGCCGAUGGCAGAUUAGCUAGUUGGUGGGGUAAAGGCCUACCAAGGCGACGAUCUGUAGCUGGUCUGAGAGGACGACCCGCCACACUGGGACGGAGACACGGCCCAGACUCCUACGGGAGGCAGCAGUGGGGAAUUUUGGACAAUGGGCGAAAGCCUGAUCCAGCAAUGCCGCGUGUGUGAUGAAGGCCUUCGGGUUGUAAAGCACUUUUGGCGGGAACGAAAGGGACUGUGCCAAUACCACGGUUCGAUGACGGUACCCGCAGAAUAAGCACCGGCUAACUACGUGCCAGCAGCCGCAGUAACAC